GGAGAAGACUACAGGGAUUCCCCUAGUAACGGCGAGUGAAGCGGGAUGAGCUCAACUUUGAAAUCUCGCGGGUUUCCCGUGCGAAUUGUAGUCUAAAGAAGCGCUUUCGGGGGCAGCCUGGGUAAAAGUCCUUUGGAAGAAGGCAUCAGAGAGGGUGAGAAUCCCGUACCUGACCCGGUGUCUGCUCCUAUGUGAUGCGUCUUCCUAGAGUCGGAUAGCUUGGGAAUGCUGUCCAAAUCGGGUGGUAAAUACCAUCUAAGGCUAAAUAUUGGCGAGAGACCGAUAGCGAACAAGUACCGUGAGGGAAAGAUGAAAAGAACUUUGAAAAGAGAGUUAAACAGUACGUGAAAUUGUCUAAAGGGAACGGCUUGAAACCAGUAUUGCGUGUAAUAGAUCAGCCGUCCAUAUGGGCGGUGCACUCUAUUGCAUGCGGGUCAGCAUCGGUUUGAUUUGGGUUAUAAAGCUGUCGACAGGUAGCUCCUCGGAGUGUUAUAGUCUUCAGUCAUGCCCCGGAUUAGACCGAGGAACGCAGCCUUGUUACGGGGGAACCUUCCGCCUCGGAUGUCGCACUGUCAAACAACUUGUUGAUUGCUGGUGUUAAGUCUGCGCACGGUUGGCUACCACUUCUGGGCUUAGGAUGCUGACGAAAUGGUUUUAAACCACCCGUCUUGAAACACGGACCAAGGAGUCCAACACAUAUGCGAGUCUUUGGGUGGCAAACCCACGGGCGUAAUGAAAGUGAAAGGGUACCAACUUCGGUGCAGUACCGACCGGUCUGGAUUUUUAUGAUGGAUCUGAGUAUGAGCAUAUGUGCUGGGACCCGAAAGAUGGUGAACUAUGCCUGGAUAGGGUGAAGCCAGAGGAAACUCUGGUGGAGGCUCGCAGCGGUUCUGACGUGCAAAUCGAUCGUCAAAUCUGGGUAUAGGGGCGAAAGACUAAUCAACCUNNAA
rnacentral:rRNA from 1 species